ACGGAUCGUGUAAACCUAAUGAAAAUUUAAUCUUCUUCCGCCGUCAUCGUUGUCGAAACCAUUUGCAGAGAUUUUGUUCUUCUUUGUGCUUCCUUUCUCAAAAUUAACUUCCCUCAUCAUGAGAGCGUAUCAUUGUCGCAAAAAGAUAUUAUAGGAGAAGGUCAUCAAAGGUAUUUAGAGAAAGGAUUAAGGGGAAAACUGGAUAUAUCUCCAAAGAGAGAAUUGGUUUAGUCGAUGAAUUGGGGGGAGAAAGGUGAAGACGUGAUAUGCAAUUCGGAAUCAGAAGAGGGAAUUAAGGAUUCAGACACGAACGAAUCUGGAAAGAAGCGACCAGUUCUUGAGACAAGUGAUGGCGAGGGGAAAAAUAAAAAGAGAGAUAUGAAGAGGAAGAAGAAGAGUGAUGAUUUCAACAUUUUUUUAUGGUUCCAUGAACAAGACAAAGAUGGCAAGAAGAGAAUAAUUUGAUCAACUUCGUGCAGAAAACCAGAGACUCUUGCGAAGUUAGAAAGUAGAGAUGCUGUCUUUCGUUGUGUUUACCAGUACAGGGAUAAUCCCAAUGCUCUUGGUAGAGCCAACGAGAGCAGACUCUGUGUAUUGACGACAUACGGCAUUGCACUGGAGCUUCUUUUAUCCCGGAUUUCAUAUACAUCAGCGAGAGACGCCGACUUGCAACAUAUGUUGCAUCGUUAGCAAGACCUCUCAUCUAUUGCCAUGGCAAGUAUGUGAUCAGGUUAUUAGAUAUAUAUAGGUUACUACUCCAUCUGAUGGAUUCAGCAACCGGUUGAUCCUCCGUUAAAGACAUUCAGUAUUUCAGGACUUGGAGGACAACACCAGAACAAGUAUGACUCCGUUGUGCGUCUUAAACAUCUCCCCACCGGAAUCGUAGCACAGGCCGUCGAGGAUCGUUCGCAGCCUUAUAGAAGAUAGGGUUACCUAUAUGAAUGGUACACAUGAAAACCACAAUGUGGAGAUUUCCAUGUGUCCUGACACAUAAAGCUGUUUCACCUAUAUUAAGUUUUCAUGUUAAUCGUUACUGUACUACUAAAUAACUUAACCACAUGUCUUUAACAAAAAAACUUAACCACAUGUAUCAAUAAUAGACUGAAGUAUAUACCACUCAUAGAGACACAUAGUGCUACAAGUACUUCAAAAGAGAUUACCUUUA